rnacentral:rRNA from 1 species
UACGUAGGGUGCAAGCGUUGUCCGGAAUUACUGGGCGUAAAGAGCUCGUAGGUGGUUUGUCGCGUUGUUCGUGAAAACUCACAACUCAAUUGUGGGCGUGCGGGCGAUACGGGCAGACUGGAGUACUGCAGGGGGAGACUGGAAUUCCUGGUGUAGCGGUGGAAUGCGCAGAUAUCAGGAGGAACACCGGUGGCGAAGGCGGGUCUCUGGGCAGUAACUGACGCUGAGGAGCGAAAGCGUGGGGAGCGAACAGG